rnacentral:rRNA from 1 species
GAAUAUUGGACAAUGGGGGGAACCCUGAUCCAGCCAUGCCGCGUGUGUGAAGAAGGCCUUUUGGUUGUAAAGCACUUUACGCGAGGAGGAGGCUACUCUAGUUAAUACCUAGAGAUAGUGGACGUUACUCGCAGAAUAAGCCCCGGCUAACUCUGCGCCAGCAGCCGCGGUAAUACAGAGGGGGCAAGCGUUAAUCGGAUUUACUGGGCGGAAAGCGCGCGUAGGUGGCCAAUUAAGUCAAAUGUGAAAUCCCCGAGCUUAACUGGGGAAUUGCAGUCGAUACUGGUUGGCUAGAGGAUGGGAGAGGAUGGUAGAAUUCCAGGUGUAGCGGUGAAAUGCGUAGAGAUCUGGAGGAAUACCGAUGGCGAAGGCAGCCAUCUGGCCUAAUACUGACACUGAGGUGCGAAAGCAUGGGGAGCAAAC